CUUUAGCCCCGAUUGUAGUGAAAAUCCUUAUGUGCCGGGGUUCGGCGCACAAGAUUGCAGCGGAAAGUGGGAACAAUG
rnacentral:sRNA from 1 species